GCCACCGCCCGCCAUCUCCUCUGGCAGCGCGGCCCAAGGCGCGCCGCGCCCGCCCCCCCUCUCCCCGUGGCACCGCCUGAGACCCCGGCAGCGGCAGCGGGGCUCGGCCCGGCCGCCCCGGCCCCUGCGCCGUGCGGGGAGAUCGGUUGGUAAUAUGGAAGAGCCUGCCAGAGGGAGAUGUCCUGCACUUCAGUCACUCUUUCUUCUGAAGGGCCUGUGUCCAACCAAAGACUAAAUCAGAGCAGCUGCGGGGACACUUGAAUUUACAGAACGGAUCUGGUAGGUUCCUGCUAACUGCAAAGUACAGCUCUGGGAGUCCCUGUCUUUAAAAUCUUUUCUGCCUUCCAGUACCUCACACAACGCCUCUAUAGUAGAUGCAGGGAAAGAUAACUGUGUAUUUCACUGUUAAUUUAUGCAGCUUUAGAAGGUUUAAGCCUCUCCACCAUUAGCUGGUCAUUUCAAAAAGAGUUUCUGCUAGGACAGUUCUUCCUAUUUCCCUCCAAGAAGAAAGGCUCCCAAAAGUUAAGUUUCAGAAUUAGCAUUUUAAGUAAGGACCACCUUUCUCAUUACUGCGACCGCAUUUGCUUGUCCAUGUGAUUGCCCUCAGCUGAAUAAAGGGAAUCUCCCUGUGAUCCCGUUUCAUUUUGGGAGAGGUUGGGGGGUGGUAGGAAGGUUUUUUUAGGCUGUGCAUUCCUUCUCUUUUCCUGAAAUGGAAUUGCCUCACUAAGGUAUUGUGAUAUUUUCAGAUACUUUGCCAAAAAAUGCACAACCCAAAACAAAAAAUAUGAUUGCACCCCUGUGCUAAUUGUGUGAUACUCAAGCAUUUGUCUGUCUUGCACUGCAUGAUGAUGUGAUACAGAAGCAGACAGCCAUAGAUGGCCAGAAAAGGCUUAAUUAAGUAUUCUGCAGCUGCUACAAAUUAGAUCAGCAUCUGCAUCUGUGUAGACAAUGAGAUUCAUGGUAAUUUUGAGGGCCAAGCAAAGCAGAGAUUUGUUUUGGAUAGGCCUCUAGCCACAAUUCAAACAAAAUUCAAACGAAACACGUUCUAAGGGUAGAAGAACAUUGGUCAACUUCAUCUCCUGUUGCUGAAGGCCACUAUGGUGCCCUGUCCUGGCUACAUAUACCAGUUCCAGUGUACCCCAUGGAAAGCUGCUGUUACGGUACUCAUGCUUUUUUGUUUGUUUGGGUUUUUUUUUGAGAAAUGCAAUUCUCAAAAGUUUUUCAGACUAUACUUAGAGGUAUAUUUUCUCUAAGCACCCAGUUUUAUGGCUGUUUCUCUGACAAUUUGCCUUUAUUUCAAAUUGUGUACCACUUUCUGGAACCAGAGUUGGAGUAAAUGAUACGCACAUUUUAAAGGUCAGUCAUCCUGCAUAUUGUAACAGAGUAUGCUGUAUGAUAUUUGCAGCAUAAAUUGAGUAGAGAAUACAACAGCAAUAGACUAGUACAUGGAAUGAGGGGAUAAAGGUAUUGUUGGCAAACUUUUAAACAGAUAUGCUUGCAUGCAGAUACAAAGAAAUAAUAGGGUAUUCUGUGGACAUUUUGAGAAAGUGCCACGUGUUUGGAAACUCCUCAGUACUAAAUUGUUUUUCUUUCGCAUAUUAACAGCUCCAAACACAAGUAUUGAUCCAUAAAUGUGUCUUCUACCUGCUGCUGUAAUACUAAUAUAUCUAUUAUCAAAACAAUAAUUAAUAUAAAACGUUUAUUAGAUAUUUUAGAGAGACCUUGUGAGGGCUGACAGCUCUUGUUGAUAAGUGAAGACAACCUUGUAACCUCUGUGGCCAUAAAAUUUCAUUGCACAAUAUUUGGGUCAGCUUUUAGAUGUGCUUGGGCCACUUAUGUUCGUCUAUAUUAAAACUUCCAUGAGCCUCCAGCUGUGAUGUCAUUGGUUAUAACUCUUCCCAUGGAAGUACUUUAAAAAGUUGAUAUUACUGAGGUUAAAAGGGAAGUAAGCCUCAGAGGUUAUGUUUGGAUAUGUACUUUGGUUUAGAUGUAUUUAAUCUGAACUUACUGUUGCUGUGGUGUGAUCUUUUUGGAGCGUCUUUGCACAGGUCCUGAGUGAUAGAGACCGGUUUAAGUUCCCAUUUCUGGUGUUAACGUUCUGCAAGGCUGCACCAAUCAGACCAGCAAGAUCUGAUUUCAGCAGUGACUUUGCAUAGCUACACUGACGUGGUUAAAGGAGAAGAAACCUGGUUGCUAAAUCGAAGAAGUUUCUGAAACUGGGGGUUACUAUUUUUGUCAGGCAAGUAAGGACCAUGCAGAGACAAUUUAAGUGCUUUACUAAUUAAUCAAUUAAUCUCCAAUUAAAUGUGUAUUAAAACCUGUUGAACUGACCCACUGUGUCAUUACCCUCUCCAGUUUUAAACUUUCGGUAACACUUAACUAGUUAAGUUAUGGUGGCACUAGCUUUUAGAUCUACCAUAGUUGGAGGGUCUGUGCUGUAAAGCCCCUUUCUGCUAGCAUCUCUGGACAUGACCUAGUUGUCCUCUUGGCUGUGACUCAGACAAAGGAGCAACGGCUGGAGAACAGGUACAUAUCUGAAAGGGGGUUAAGAGAUUUUCUAGCUCUUAAGUGAGAGUGAAGGGUCUCCUGGGGUCUAGGUGUUCAGGUAGGGUGAAGAUGGGGCAAAAGGCAUAUGGGCAGAAAUAAUUUAAAAGGGACUGCUGCUAAGGGGAACAGACAAGUUAAGAAUUUCUGGAUUAAACUGAAAUUCAAUUCAACAAGGAGUUCCUUGCAUUCUUUUUGCAGAUUAAACCCAGCAGUUUUGAAACUGUUUAAAUAGUUUCUCCCAGGAACAAAGGAACAAGUGCUUUUUUGCCUUAAGUGAAAGCCAGUUCCCUCACAUUUCUGAGGAGGAAUACAAACCAAAAUCUUAUUUCAGUUAGGUUGUAUGUGCCUAGGAUCUAAAGUGCUAUCAAAAGCAUAGUGGUUGAGGACUGAAUGGCUAAUGAAGUCAGUUAGUGCAAGGACACAUAAUUAAAUGGACAGCCAUAUCUUUCCAAGGGUAGGAACUAUCUCCUGAUACACAAGUAGAUUAUUUCAGUCUCUUCUAUUUUUCUCCACAUUAGUAGACUCUUCAUUAAUUUUUACAAUUAUUGCAGAUGAUAUUAAUUUGUUAUUACCAAGCAUUCUACUACAGUAAUUUCAAGCUGAGGAGAUGGAUUGAUACUGGGGAAAAGGCUAUUUGCAUAUAGUUAUAUAGGAUAGAGAGUAUCCUGCUACCACUUGAGAAAGCAAAGAAGAAAGAAUGCAUGCUGCAGAUAUCUCUAGCAAGAACUAUAGGAACCAUUGAUUUUGUAUGCCUCUGUAUUGUUAUUGGUAUAGCAAUAAAAGAAAAUAGAGAGAGAUGAAAAUGAUUGGGGGAGAGAGCUCUUUUGCUUUUUAAAAAAAGCAAACCAAAACCAAAAUGAAAGGUUUGUUUUGCUGAAUCAAUCAUUAGCAGGUAGGUAUCAGCUUUUAACAUUUUUGCUGUGACAGAUGUCAUGUUUCAGGGUACAGUGCAUCAGCUAUGUUAACAUUGGAUUCAUAUGCUGUGAGCACAACUUUUAAGUAUAUGUGUAGAACUAGCAUUCCUAUGUAUGUAUACUUAUGAAGAAAGCAGUAACUGCUAGUUCAUUCGUUCUGUGCAGUUGUUUUACGUGCUUCCCAGCAUACUAGUAUACCUUAGUUUAGAUCUGGAUGUUUAUCCUUUGUAAGCUCUAUUUAUUGAACUUAAUUUGGAAUCUGGUGCUUUUAGAGUAUACGCGUAGAAUGCACAGUUGCUUUUGUCUUUAUUGAAAAUUUCUUAAGUGGUACUUUAAGUACUUGCCUCAUAACGCUAGUUGCUUUCAAAGGAAAAAAAUCCAGUUUGACUAUGCAGUAAAUUUUUAGCACUUUCCAUUGGAGAAGACAACUCAGUUAAGAGCUUGUGUAUCUGCACAGUGUGACAAGGGGCAUGCUGCAAGGCCUGUCCAUGUUACCUCGUUUAUAGUGAACUGUACAGUGCAGCAGCGUUUUUGAAAUGGGAUAGCAGGGAGGAGCUGCGAGCAGUCGUGGGGAGUGGUAGGGCAAUGCCAGGGGUGUCUUCACAUGGGAAUGGGCCACAGUGGGGUGCAGGGUGGGGAGUGGCUGCAGAGCUGUCCCUCUGCUGCCACUGCAAUGGCUUAAGGGUGACAAAGACCCCAGGCGAGGCUGCGCUCAGUAUGCCAGCAGACUGAAUUCUCCUAACAUGCGUGUGUUUGUUCAGGGAGGCAGUCUCACACCAAUAACCAAUGGAUUUUGGAACAGCAAAAAAGAAUUAAUAAAAGCCCUUGAAGAAAGUUAUAUAUAUAUAUAGAGCAGAAUAAGAUUUUGCUUACUGUACCAAGAGAAAAAUAAUUAUAAAUUUAAAGUGUAUGUGUAUAUGCUUAUAUAUACAUGUACAUACAAACACUUUAGAUACAAAGGUGUAUAUAUAUAUACACACACACUUUAAAUUUAUAACAGAAACAUAAAAUGGAAAAUCUGCAUGUUUUAAAUGCUCAUAUAUGAAGCAGUAUUUAAGGCAAUUCAUCCUACUUCCCCCCCCUAACUUUUAUACUGCAGUUCAUCGUCUUACCAAACUUUUAAAUGCAACUUCAUGGCCUUCAGUGGAAAGUGUCCUGUUUUCACCAGCAUAAGUGAAAGGAGAAUAGACACAAUAUGUUUUGAAAAUGCCAUAUAACACUGUAUGAAAAGCCUUGAAUUAGCUUUUGAAGAACACAAUACAGAGUCAUUAAAUUGUGAGUUUUGCCAAAGCUUUGUGGUUAAAUCCCAUUUUAUAUUUACACACACUAUGGAAUAACUAAUAUAGAUGUCUUCCUGACACUAAAGCUUGGAUUUAUUGGAAAAGACAAACGUGGUUGAAAGCUGAGCUAGACUGUAGCUUUUCAAAAUAAAGAAGAUAAAAAGAUAGUUAUAGAAUAAACUGCCUUAGUUUACAAAACAAACAACAGAGCUCUUAGUUGAUGGGGAAUAGUUAGUAAAGAAAUAAAUGAGCGUACUGGCCAUUUUGGGGCUGAUUCUGUUUCUAACUGAAAUAGUAGUAAAGUUUCCAUUAAUAUAUUUAAAUACAGUUUCCCUAUUUCUUAACCUCUCAGUAUUUCAUUAAUAAUAGAAAUAUUUUAGAAUUUCACUUAAUGUACUUAAAUGGGAUGAUGAGAAAACUGAGAAACAAAAAGACCAGUAAAGGGCCCUUAUUUGAAUUUAAUGGUAUACGUUAUCUAGUGUGUAAUCUCUACCUUUUGCAACAUUAAACAAUAUUUUUCUAGAAAAGUAAAACAUUCUGUACUAAAGUUUUAUUUACAAAAUACUUUUUCCCCCAAAUUCUGUGAAAUGCAGACUGACAUAAUUGGAAUUUCAUUAAAUUAUCCAGGAGUUUGUCACAUUAAUUACUACUUCUGAGCCUUUAAACUCAAUACAGUAAAAUGGUAAUGAAUGUACAGUAUACAGAACUAAAGAUUCUAAACCAAAGGCUAUAUGUUUUUCUUGGUUAGUGCAGCAUGUAGAAUGUCUAGUUAACUCCUAGGAACUGCCAUUCCUAUUUACUGUCUUCAGAUUUAACAGUGCUUGGGUUUAAUGACUCUAUAGGGGAUUUGGUUUCCAUACAUUACAAAUGUUAUGCAUGAAACAGCAAUGUUUUACAGGCAUUUCUUGUUUAAUAGCAGCUCUAGUUUUGCGGGUUUUGUUUUGUUUUACAUUUCAUACUUCAUCCGAGAAAGUAUCUUUCUUAUUUGGAGGUUUACUUUAUGCUCUGACUAGCUGUGCUUUAUUCUACUGCUCUUUUAGUCUCACAUACAGUAGGAUAUUCUUAUAGCAAACAAGAUUGUGAUUAUUUUCAUAUAGCACAUUCCAGAAACAAAAAUAAUCUCUGCUGUGCUUCUCUUGUCUCCCAAAAUGAAGAAAACAGAUGAGGAUUAAGGCCUGAUCUACCUCUGCUGAGGUUGGAGUUCCCUGUCAGCUGUACCAGUCCCACACCAAGCAGCCUAGCUGAAAAAAAAAUCACAGAACAGGGUUGUUUGAAAGGGCUUCAGGUGUUAUUUAGCCUAAUCUUAGGCUAUCCAUUGCUGAUAAAUCAUUCAUUUUGGCAUACUGGGAAUACUGAGUACAGAAAUAGUUCAGCUGUAUAUUGACAUAUGAUUCCUUUCUUUGUCCCAUUAGUGUCUUCUAUGGUGUGCAUGUGGAUUGUGAAUAUGGAAUCUGUUUACUUGAAAAGAAUCAUGGUCAAAUUUUCUGUCUGUUUACUUGCUUAAAUAAAUGUUUUCAAUUUAACACAACAAUUUGUAAUGAAUACUGUGAAACAAAGUUAAAAGAAUGAGUUCUUGAAAUAGAAAUCAUAAUAAAAAUGCUUUUCUCCCCUCCAAAAUAUUUAUUUUAACAUGUGGUCACAUUUUCCUACAUUUUCACAUUAAUUGAAAUCUUAUUGUUCUAGAAAAAUAAAUCCUUUUUUUCCCCUUCGUCUAGUUUCCCAGCUCUUACACAAAUUAAAGAAUACACACACGGGCAUAAUUUGUGGUUUUAAAAUGAGGCAAGUUGUGUAAAUUUAUGAUUUCUUUAAAAAGCAUCAUGCCCAGCAGUGCUCUCAUGUAGCCUCUGUUUUGUAAUUUACCUUUUCACUUUAGCGAAAGGCAACAGUUUUUUGUGAUAAUCCUUUGAUUACCAAGUCUUGUAAAAUGUUCUAAACCCUGUUAAUUUCACUCCCAUAUUUAUCACAAAGUAAUCUUAUGCUGAUGUUUAGAAGGAGUUUGUAAGGCUCUGGAAUGUCUGCUGAAGCUCCAAAUACCAGAAACAGUCUACAGACACCACAUCCUUUCUAUUUAUUUGGAAAUUACGAGGAUAACUUUUUUAUUUUGAAGGAGGCAGACGGGGGCGGAGGAGAGGCACCGAGUACACCCCCAGUGCUGUCUGGAUUCGGAUGUUCUUGUAUGUAAUCCUCUAUGUUCUUUCCAUUUAGAUUCAUAGAAAUAGUUUGAAAGAAACUGACUAUAAAUAUCCAGUCACUUUCAAGAAACUUUUCUUGGCAACAGUAGCUAAAAUCAAGCACCGUAUCAAAUAAAAUGCAAAGCAUGCUACAAAGCUUAUCUGCUUUCUCUUGAAGAAAGCUUUGUAAGCGUAGCCAUGAGCCUGGAGCCCAAUCACCCAGUGCCGUGGCAAGCAGAGCAACUUCCAAAGACUUAAAAAUCAUUUUUUAAUCGUUUUCUCUGUUAAAACUCACCAGUGCCCUUCUUCUGCUUCUCCAGGAAGUUGUACCCGUCAGCACCUGCUGAGGGCUUCGUUGAUCAAACUGGCAGGUAAAAAAAUUCCUGUAGAAUAAAGCCAGACCAGCUGGCUUUGAAGAGAAACCCCCCAGUUUGGGUUGUGUUUGUCUCACUCACCCUCUGCUCCGCAGCCCUGGGCUUUUUCUCCUUUGGAUGUUGACCUGUAGGCUGCGUGAUGCGGGUGCACAAGUGUCUGGCAGGCCAAGGUGCACCUGCUUCUGUCACUCCCGAGUAAAUUUAGCUGUAAAAGGUAUCACUGACAAGCAGACCUUUGUCAGCACUGGCAAAUGAACACAGCAUUGCCGUCCCCCUUCCAAGUACGCUUGCGAGUUCAAAUGGAAAAUAGCAAAUCGGUCAUCUUAUCCAGGAAUCGCUUCUUUGAGAAGAAGGAAGGCCAAAUUGCUUGUACGUGGCAAAAAACUUUCCUCCUUUACAUAGAUGUUAAAAUUACAGUAUUCCUGGAAUAAUCUCUGAACAUGAUGGGUUUUUGUUCUAUUAAUUGUGGCUGGAAGGAAACUUUUUUUUUAAUGGAAAUACAGCACACACAUAUUUCAAUUCAGGUUAUUAAAUUGUGUUAAGUAUUAAAGUUGAUGGCCUUUCUUUUCACUAACUCAUUGUGCUUUUUUAUCCAAAGAAAUAUUAGAAGACUAAAACCUCUCAAAUAGGAGGUAUUAAUCUCAUUCCCAAAAUUAGAAAGCAUGCAGUGUUGAGAGACUGGAUGUCAAAAUUACGUGUUCGUAGCACUUAUGCAGUGGGAAUCUAGGAACCAACUACUUUUAAAAUGGGAGCUAAAGUAAAUGGAGACUUUUCUGGGAGAAGCGAUCAAAACUUGGUGUUCUUGUCCUUAUUGGAUUCAGGUAAGGGUAUUUAUCAUUUAUAUCUGCCCCUUGCUUUUUUUAUUUUUUUCCCUCCUUCCUGGAAGUGGCUUCUAGUGGUUGAAAUACAUGUAAUUUGCAUCAGUAUGUCUUGCAGAGUUAAUAAAAAAAGUCACCAACAUAGAUUUGCCAGGAUUGGUAGUAACAUACCCAGAUACUCCAUUUUCUGCUUGAAAACUAUGCCAUAAACUCAAAACAACUUUUAAGGGAAAAUUUCAAAACUGUGUACUUUACAACAAUAUACUUUUUAAAAAGAGCAAAAUGUUCCUUCUAAAAAAGUAAUGGGGAAAAAGUGUGGGUCAGGAGCUCUUUGUAAAAUAAACAAGGUUCCUAUUUACUUGCUUGUAUAAACAACCACUCACUAAGCUGUAUGUCUCUGCAGGGGCACCCCUUCAGAUAAAAACAUGGACCUGAUUGGCAUCAUCCCGUAUCCAUGGAAACGUUUUAAGUACCUCUCUCUCAAAACAUACUUCUCUUAUUCAGGGUUUAAAAGCCAAAUACCAAGAUUAGGAAAAAUACUAAGAAAUCAGACUACUUUCUUUUGGCAGCAGCCAUACCCACCUGUAUCGCUGUUUAGUGGGCCACAGAAGUUAAGAGCUUAACAGUCAUUUUGAAACCAAACCAAAAGACUUGAGGAUAAAGGAGAUGCUUUAGCACAGAAGUAAGUCAAAUGCAAAAUAAUAAUUUUCCUAUUGUCUGCCCCACUACUUAGUUAAAAUAUCAAAGCAAAGAACUAACAGAAAUAAGGGAUUUUCUGUCUCCAUUUUUCCAUGCAGAGAAAGAAGCAUAGUCAUGAACCACAUUUAUUUUAAAAACUGUCAUUCUGAAGAAGAUCCUUUGCAGAUCAAAUGUAGUUAUGUCAAAGUUGCCUUGGCUCAAAUUCAAAACUCUUUCAGAAUUCCACCUAUUAACUGGUACAACUGAUGCACACUUCCAGUGUAGUUUGAUUUACAAAGUAUGAAAACGAGUGAUUGCUAUCCAUGAGUUAACGUACUGUAUGUAUUUUUAAAAAAUCCUGUCUUAAUUUUGUUGAGGGAAAACAUUUUCUUCACCUGGGCUAGGCUGGAACACUGGAAUGCCUUGCUAAUUACAAUUGCUAUCAGAAAAACACAUUUCUGUCUAGAGAGAGAUGCAGUAAUUCUCGCUGAAAUCCAACUGGUUUACAGUUUUGGUUUGCUACAUUUGUAUCUCUACAUAUUAUUUUCAUUUACUGCUGUUACUGUUUUUAUUUGCCACCUUUUCUUGACAGCCCAGUCCCUGCUGAGUGCAGAUGGCACAAAUACUCUCUCCACUGAUUAGGUUGGAAUGGCCUUUUUAGAAACUCUGUCAAACUUUGCUAUCUAAUGAAACUUGUUACCUUUUCACACGCUAGCUUCUCCCUGUCAGGCUUAUGCCUUUAUUUAUGUCUAUGCCUUUACAAAUGUGUAAAGCUUUUGUUUAAGAACUGUGAUUGUGGUGUGGACCAGUUGAACAUGCUUGACUCUCUGCAGAAGAAUCACUGGGUAAUCUGCCUGUGGUCUGGCCCAUUCGUUCUGCAGAUUGCCACAUGAGACCUCGGAUUGUGAUUGCUCUCAAGAACUUUCACUCUGAGCCAACUAAGCAUAUCAGAGAGGUGAAACUUUCAGCCUCCGUGGAAGGAUGCAGCACACAUGACAAUUUUGUACAUUUCCCUUCUAUCAUGUGCCUGUCCUUGCUACAAGGUCGAGGUUGCUGGGGUGCUAACUGGGGAAGUAGAAAGAGAGACUAGUCUCAGCUCAGCCUGCUGUGCAUUCAGUGUGGCGUGGACAAGGAAGCUCUGACCUUGUUCAUCAUCCUGAACAAAUAAAAUUUCAGUUUCGUACUUGAGUGGCAGGAUUACUCAGGUGCACUGCAAAAUACAGUGAAGGCUGGGCCUGACACUGCCACGCGGAAAUGGGGGAAACAAGAUUUGCCCUGUUGCCACUAUGUAAGGGGCAAAAAUGUGAUUCUUCCUAGCCGCAGAUCUCAGGGAAAGAAAGGGAUGAGGGGAAUUGGUAGUGGUAUCACUUGGGCACAGAAAUCUUCAUCUAAGUAAUAUGUUCUCAGCUUUAUGAUUUUUAGCUUUUUAAUCCAAGAUGUCUUUUUUUCUAGCAUUUGUUAAAGAAUCACUUCCAAAAUGCUAGAAAGUCAGCCUGAGCAUAUUGCAGAUAAAAUCUGUCUCCCUUCUCCAUCACGUAAAAUAGAGAUACAACAUUUGGCCUAUAUUCAGUUUUUCAGGUGCUAAAAAGCUAUGACAAAAAUGCACAGAUCGUAUGAUAAUGGGCAUAUUAUACAACUCUAGAUCAUCAUAUGCCCAGCUUAUUAUUACUAUUUUAGUUUUCCUCAGGCCACUUUUAUAGCACCAUCAACUUACAUGUACUUCACAAACAUAAAGGCUCAUUGCAUGCUUUUUGAAUUUAUGGAUCAAAUACAAUAAAUAAGCAGGGAAAAAACCCAGGAAAACAUUUAAGAAUGUGGCAAACAUAUAAGGAGAGGAGUAUGGCUGUAAAAAGAAAAGUGAACUGAGUUGUUUGAAGGCUUUUAAAGAUCAGCAUCAGACUAAAAUGUAGACAAGGAAUUCUCUAAGGAGCACCUCAUGUUAUUUUGGAGCCAUCAGAACGAAAACAGGACCUAAAUUCUGACUCUUCUAUACUUGAAACACACCCAGCUGAAAAGGACCGAGGAAAAAACAUGACUGACUAAAAAGCAGCUGCAUUUGGAGAACUUGCGCACAACAAAGAUGCCUCAAAUUCGGGCUUGAAAAGGGGUGGGAAAGCUGAAAACGGAGCAUCUGCUUCCACUGAUUUUGUUGGAGUUAAAAAAGCAAAAAGUGGUUCUGGGAUAUGCGUGAAUAGAUCUAUACCAUGGCACCGAAGGAGUGAGCAGCUGCAGUCUGUGGGAACUUAGGUACGUAUAUGCCAUUAAUUUAAAUGCGCUCCAGGAUUCUGUCAACAGAGGAAAGAGGAGAGCUUCCCCAGGAAUGUUUACUGCAGAACAGUUACACUGAUUAUAAGUUACUUUAAAGUAAUAAAUUAAUAGUGACCUUCUCUGCCAAAGUAUGAUUUAUUACAGACUGAUCUGCUGUUUUGUAUAACUGUUUUACAUACUAAUUGCCAGUAUAGUUGCCUGAGAAUUGAAGUAUAAAUGUGAUAGGGAAUGAUUCAUAGACAGUAUCUAAAAGCAAACCCGAAAACCUCAAAAUGUUACAAGCUUUUAGAAUUAAAACAUUUUAGUGCAAAUCAGCAAUAUGGUGUAUUGUCAAAUUAAUUAUUUGAAAAGAAGUAUUUAUAAUAAACAUUGGAAAGGAUCAGCGGAAUAAAGGGUUUCAUGAGGCAUUCCUAGUUUCAUGUAAAAAUGAUUCAGCUCUUGUUCCUGCAAACCAUUUUUUAUAUUUUGCUGUGGUCUCCCAAACUCCUGCAAGCUCCAGGUUUAUGAAUAUGUCCUGUUCAAUAGGUAAGAGGUUUACUUUGCACUUGUCCUGGUGUCCACAAAAGGUGCUUGCUAAUAAACCGGUAAAUGGGCCUCCUUCGUGUUUUAAGCCUUUCAUACUACGUGAAUAGUUGAUCUGAAAACUAUUAUUUUAAGUGGAUCUGGUACCACAGCCGUAUGCAAUGUUGCCUAACAUUUGUCAUUAAGAUUUUUCAUUGUGAGUUGCAAAAUUUCAACUAUUAAGUUUUAAAGGUAUCCUUUUUGAGUAUGUGCUUUAUCCUGGAUUUUCUAGAGUGAUUCAGCAGUUACUUGAACAGGAGGAGCGGUAUUCUAGACUACAUAUGUUAAGAAAACGUGUGAAGUUGUUUAACUGGGCAUCUCUAACAACCUACAGAGUUUGUAAUAAUGGAAGAAGUUCAGGGGCAGUCUUGGGAAUGUACCUGCCGCCUGCUCAGAUAGCAUAUCUGCCAAAGUGAAAUUCGCCAGGAAAAUACCGGGUCGUGUGUGCUUGUCUGAGGCUUCAGUUGGGAAUCUGGCACCAAAGAGGGGGAGGAAGUGAUUAAAAGCUGUUGGCAUGCCUGUAUGCCAACUUAGAGCUGCAUGGCAACUGAUUCUGACAUUUGUGAUAUUUUAAGCGCUGGACUUAAUAUUUAUUAUCACAGAAUCUGAGGGCUUAUGGAGGUGCAUGCUAAAGUCUGUAUGUUUUGCAUUGUGUACAGAUAUGUCGGCUGUUGUCCACUCCUUACCUGCUCAGUCUCAAUUCCUAGUGCAAAAGGGUGACUAUACAGGUUCUUUCUCUCUUUACUCCAUUUUCCUGCUCCAUGGAAUGAUGUAGGGAACUAACCUCACCUGGACUUAUUCUCUUUGUCCCACCCUCCCAGCUUUUAGUAUGGCUGCAAGCAUUAUCCAGCCUUCCAACUAGCAGGCAGAAAAAAAUAUAGCAGAAUUCAUUCUGAAGAACUGAGUUUUGCACUAGCCGCUUACAUGUACAAAAAUGUAAUUCUAAUCCUCUGUUGUUUUUUGGCAUUAAUGUACCGUAUUCAUUGAGACUGAGAAAAAACUGCUGCCUCUAAGAGCCACUGAUUUGGACAAUUAUCCAAAAUCAGAUUAUAAUAAAUGGCAGUCUUAGGAAUGUUGAUUAACCUCUAAAUAAAUAUUACUUUGGAAAAACCCUGUCAAAUGCAUUAAUGAUAAGUUGUGAAGUAGUAGUAAUUGCAGGCAUGGCAUUAUAGAUAACGUAGUUAAUUGAUACCACCCUCUCAAACAUGUAUAGUACAUCAGCUGCCAUGAAGCUGGAGUGAUUAUAAUAGUAUUUACAACAGUUGAAAUAGAUAAGAUAUGUAAAAUAGAAACUUAGGGUGCUUACUACGAUCCUCUCACUUGGUCAUUUAAUGACUUUGGGCAAGUAUUGCUUGGACAUUAAUGCUUCCAGCUUUCUGAUGAGGUAAGUAUGUACUGAGCUGCUCUAAUUAGAUUUUAUGUGAAUGUCAUAUGGUCCAGGAUGAAGACUGUAAUUAGUCCAGACAGUCUGCACAGGAUGAAGUCAUGAGUCAGGUCCAGGGACGACCCGGAGAGCAGUCAGGAGCAGGAGGAGGUGGGCCAGGGACAAAGCAUGGGUCUUUUGUCCAUCCAGGGGACAGGGCAAAGAUGGGACUGGUGACAAAGCUCUGGCAAAGCAGAGGUCUAUCCAGGAGACAGCAAUCCACAGCAGAGGUCUACUGUCCAUCCAGAGACUACUGCACUUAAAACAUAGCUCUAGUUAAUUAAGGCCCUGGGCUGAGCUUAAAUGGAGCUCCUGGGUCUAGGGGCAUGGGUGUCCCUGGGGGAAGCUUAUCAGGGCCAUUACACCCUGUCUGGGUGUUCAGGGCCUUGGCAGGUCCUUCCUUUCCCUUAUCAAUGCUUGCAGUCAUAGGAUUCACAAAAUGGGUCUGCCUAGGUCACCUUUUCUUGGGAUGGUCCUGCAGAGCUGUUUGGAUGAGUUCAUGCUGAGAUUACAAAUGGAAGUGGAAAACGUGUCCUUGUCUAGCAGAUGUGUUUGUAGAAAUGCAAUACAGAUUAUAUAGAUGCAGACUCUAGGGAAGAAUGCCUUGGCUUCGUUUUUUGGGUUGCUUUUUUUUUUUUUUUUCGGGAAUGACACACAUUUGAUGAAGAGUCCUCUUCAUGGCAGCAUGGCAGCAACCACAGUGCAGCCACAACUUCUGUGUCUUGGCCCGGCCCGUAACUUGGUAUGACUCCUAGUGUAGAGCAGCCAUGGGCAGUGGAGUGAGAGGAAAGCUAUCAAGUACAGAUUAUAUCUGCUGAGGUAAAAGUUAUCUUGCUUCUGAACACUCUCACUCCACCACUCCCUGCCGAAUAGCAGAAAAGCCAACAUCUCCAGAAGGAAGCGAAGUGGAGCUGUUCUACAUACACUGAUGUGUUCUUACCACUUUUGUCAAUUAUAUGAGUUUGUUUUCCAUAUUAAAGCCAGCAUGAAGGACUACUUUACAGUGAAUAAAGUAUUCAGUCUUAAGUGCUAAGAACAAUUUUUUAAGCUGAAGUUUUUCUUCUGAGAGUUGUCCAAGGUUUCAUUCCAUGACUUCUUCCUAAAGCUACGGCUAUAUAAAUCAGACCAGAAGCAUACCUGUUUACACAGCUGUGCCAGGGGAAUGGUGCAGGAACUUCACCUUGCCAAGGGAAGGAUUGCACUCUGGCAAGGAUCAACUCCCUCUCUCGUUCCUAACUUCUUUCUCAAGGUUGAUGAGUAAUAAAUUGUGUCCUAAGAGCAGAAAAUGGUGCAAAUGCCCCUGACUGAUCAACUGUGACUUUUGUAGCUGACCGACGAGUAAACCUCAAGGGAAGUGGCAGAGGACGAGUCCUCAUGAGGUUCACAAGAAGGUGGCAAGGUCUUUGUUCCAUGGGUCUGGAUACCAGGCACCAGCACGGCCAUAGAGUUCUGGAAGAUUGGCAUUACCCUGUAGCAGUGUCACAGCCUGCAGUCAUUUAAUGCCUCUUCUUGUGGGGCCAGGAUUCCACGCCCAAGUGCAUUUAGUAGCUGCAUGCAUUAGCAGGCUGACUCCACUUUGAAAACCUUAAGCCGCAUUCUUCAGAACAGUUGCUUGCUGUUGGUUGGAUUUCUCUGCAGCCCUUUUUUCCAUUUGGAGCCACCGAGGCUGACACAUAGUUUCCAAGAUCUUCAGCGCGUCUUCUGUCUCCUGAAUCGUCUCCUGAAUCCCAAAUAUUUCUCAAGUGGCUAGCAAAAGAAUAUCCAGAUAAUCUUCAUGCUGGUGACACAAGCUUUGAGAAGAAAGCCAGAUGGCUCUGCAAAUUAAUUGUAAAGUAAUUAUUUCAUUUCAUGUUAGCUUGGUGUCUUUAAUACGUGUGUACUUUCACUGUUAGAGUUAGAGCAUUCACAAGAUCCGAAGGGCCUAUGAAAUCCCACUAAUUCUAAUAACAACUUUUGUUGGUCAGACUGUAAAUGAUACUGUAGAUGAGUUGUGUGACAAAGCAAUAAUGCAACUUGAAAAAAAUAAGAGAUGAGCAAUAAACUGAAACAAAAGAGCUUGUUGCCUUUCCCAAAACAGUACUUUUCCAUUCCUGACCUAGGUUUACUUCCCUCACCCCGCCCUUCUUUAAGCAUCUUUACAUUGUAUGCUAACAAUAGGUGCAUUCAUGGUUCAAACUUUAUGCCCAAAAUUAUUGCCAUUCAAAUCCCUUAUUAUCCUUUCAGGCAUCUUAAAAAAACCAGGUCAAACAACACUGCAUAAUUUGGAAAGUUAACAAAACAUUGUUUAUGGAACAAAAAUAUAAGUAGAUGUAAUUACCACAACCUUUAAAUGCAUUGUUUCCCUUCAAUUGUCAAUUAAACAUUUUGAAGAGCUAAAGUUUUAUACAAAA